AUACUUGCGUGGCAGGGGAGACGGCAUCAUCACGAAGGUGGUUUUCCAGGGCGGGGCUUAUCCGUUGCACUCGGAUGUGCUGAGUCUGCUGGCUCCUGUGAUUCUCCCAAACGUGGGAAACUCCACUGCAUAAUUCGUGGGAUGGGGGACUGUGUUAGUGCUCUCCCCGG